rnacentral:tRNA from 1 species
GCAGACUUGGUCUAGGGGUAUGAUUUUCGCUUCGCAUAUUAGCGACUUUGUGAAAGGUCGUGGGUUCAAUUCCCACAGUGUCCA